GACGAACGCUGGCGGCGUGCUUAACACAUGCAAGUCGAACGGAGCGAAUGAAAGCUUGCUUUUAUGAGCUUAGUGGCAAACGGGUGAGUAACACGUAGGCAACCUGCCGACAGGAUGGGGACAACAUUCCGAAAGGAAUGCUAAUACCGAAUGAAGCGGAGGAGAGGCAUCUCCCCUCCGUGAAAGAUGGCCUCUUUUUAUGCUAUCACCUGUCGAUGGGCCUGCGUCUGAUUAGCUGGUAGGUGAGGUAACGGCUCACCUAGGCGACGAUCAGUAGCCGGUCUGAGAGGAUGAACGGCCACAUUGGGACUGAGACACGGCCCAGACUCCUACGGGAGGCAGCAGUGGGGAAUCUUCCGCAAUGGGCGCAAGCCUGACGGAGCAACGCCGCGUGAGUGAAGAAGGUCUUCGGAUCGUAAAGCUCUGUUGAUGGGGACGAACGUGCCUAAUGCGAAUAGUA
rnacentral:rRNA from 1 species